rnacentral:rRNA from 1 species
GACGAACGCUGGCGGCGUGCUUAACACAUGCAAGUCGAACGAAGUGGCGAACGGGUGAGUAACGCGUAAUCAACCUGCCCUUCAGAGGGGGACAACAGUUGGAAACGACUGCUAAUACCGCAUACUGAAGGAGGGGAUUGCGUUGGAUUAGCUAGUUGGGGGGGUAACGGCCCACCAAGGCGAUGAUCAGUAGCCGGUCUGAGAGGAUGAACGGCCACAUUGGGACUGGGACACGGCCCAGACUUCUACGGGAGGCAGGAGUGGGGAAUCUUCCGGAAUGGAAGGAAGUUUGGAGGGGCAACGCCGCGGGAGUGAUGACGGCCUUCGGGUUGGAAAGCUCUGUUAAUCGGGACGCGGUACCGGAAUAGAAAGCCACGGCUAACUACGUGCCAGCAGCCGCGGUAAUUC